rnacentral:rRNA from 1 species
UACGAGGGGGGCAAGCGUUGUUCGGAAUUAUUGGGCGUAAAGGGUGCGUAGGCUGUGCGGUAAGUCACCUGUGAAAUCUCCGAGCUCAACUCGGAGCCUGCAGGCGAUACUGCCGUGCUGGAGUAUGGGAGAGGUGCGUGGAAUUCCCGGUGUAGCGGUGAAGUGCGUAUAUAUCGGGAGGAACCCCUGUGGCGAAAGCGGCGCACUGGACCAUUACUGACGCUGAUGCACGAAAGCGAGGGGAGCAAACAGG